GGAGAGGUGGCCGAGCGGUUUAAGGCACCAGUCUUGAAAACUGGCGAGGUGUAACAGCCUCCGUGGGUUCAAAUCCCACCCUCUCUGCCG
rnacentral:tRNA from 1 species